AAAAAUGCCAAUAUUGCGAUACAGAGAAAGGGGAAAAAGGGAAAAAUCCUACCCUCUUCACAUCGGUCUUCUUAACUUUUUUCUCUCUAAAAAAAAAAACCUAGCCGUACUACGAUAGAGGCGAUCUCUUCACAUCAAACUCCGCUAGGAGGAAAAAAAAAAAAAUUUACUUGCGCCACACUGGAGAUUCGAUUGAUCAUCGCUAUCCCCUUCUGAGUUUUCCAGAUUUACGCAGUUCUCUACCAGAUAUGAUGGUUUAGUAUUUUGCAAGAAGAGAUACCGAAUCAUAUUGAAAGGUUUAGGCUUAUGAUGCUGUUGUUGGUGAUUUAACCAUACUAUCCAAGAGGUCAAAGGAUGUGGAAUUUACUCAGCCAUACAGAGUCAGGGUUGACUAUGGUAAUUCCAGCGAAGCCUAAGAGUCACCAUGGAUGUUCAUGAAGCCUUUUACCUGGGGAGUGUGGUUGGUGGUCGCUUUCAUCUUGAUUUACACCAUGUUCAUAGUUUGGUUCUUGGAGCAUCCAUCCAAUCCGGAAUUUAAAGGCUCGUUGAAGGAUCAGAUUGCGACCGCCAUGUGGUUUGCCUUCUGCUCUCUGUUCUUUGCUCACAGAGAGAGGAUUUACAAUCACCUUACACGAGUGGUGAUCGCAGUGUGGCUAUUUCUAGUGUUUGUGUUAACUGCAAGCUACACUGCCAAUCUCUCUUCAAUGCUCACUAUUCAGAGGAUGGAACCGAGUGUCGCAUCUAUGGAGUUGCUUAAGAGGAACAACUUAACCGUUGGUUAUGACAAGGGUACCUUUGUAGGCAAACUACCUGGAGGAAGUGCUUAAUUUCAACACUACCAACAUCAAGGAAAUUGAUAGUGAAGAGAAAUAUAUAAAGGAAUUUGAAAGCAAAGGUAUAUCAGCUGCCUUUCUUGAAGCUCCGUAUGCGAAAGUCUUCCUCCAUAGAUACUGCAAGGGUUACAUCGCUGAUACCAGUCAAACGGCCACCUACAGAUUUGGAGGCUUUGGAUUUGCAUUUCAAAAAGGCUCUCCGUUUGCUAGAGAGUUUUCGGAAGAAAUUCUGAGACUAUCAGAGAAAGGAGAUCUAAAGAUACUUGACAAUGACUUGACUCCCCCGAAUGGGUGUUCAAUGAUUGUGUCUUCCGAUGAAACCAGAAGCUU